rnacentral:lncRNA from 1 species
CACAAUACCCCCUACAGGUUGUCUUGAAAGGGGAGUCAUACCUAGCGUACCCAGCCAGUGAGAGGACGACUGUUUACACAGCUGCUUCCUCAGUCAGCUCAAAGACUGCCAGUAUCUGCGCAUGAGGGUUGAUUUUUUUUCCCCCCAGUCUUUGUGGCAGCCCCUUGAUUUGGUUUGCAGUGGUGGUACUGCAAUCCAAAUCAAGGGGAUCAACCUUCUGAAUGGGACAAUCCUACUUUGAAGUUAACCUGCCUUCUUUCCUCUCAGGGAGUCUUCAAGAAGACUGGAUACUUAAUCCCACUUUAUGGAAGUCUGAACAUAGUCUUAGCUUCAUGUUAGAUUGCAUCUUAGUCUGAAUCUGUGUUAAAACAGUGAUGCCUCACCAUUAUGCAGCACCGGCUGAAUUCAGCCUUCACCAUUUUCCUGGGAUAGGCACAUACUAAUUCUGAAAAGCUGGGAUUCUGGGAAUAGCUAGUGAAACAAGUGGUAGUGUCCUUGAGAUUUCUGCAAUGCUUUUGAUGACACCAAAUGUGUUUUUGUUUUGCAGCACACCAGAAUGGGUAGGGAGGGAAUGUCCUAUAAAUCAGUGCACACCAACACCAACAUCAAGGGUUGACUAACUGUCCCUGGGUAUGAUAACUAUUCAUUCAGAAAGUUAUAUCUCUUGAGAAGAGGAGCUUCUAUCACUUACAUCUCUAUCAAGGUUCUGCCAGUGCCAGCGUUUGGUUUCUCUGCUUUGAUCCUGCUACCAAAGCUUCUUCUGGGACCAGAAAAAUGCUCCUGGAGCUGCAACAGUGCUGCAUCAAACCAGGCUGAGAAGUGACACAGCUAUUAGGAAAUUUCUCCAAACGAAGGCAAGCUAUGGGGGUCUCCUAGUAACGUUGGACCAACAAGACAUACUGGGAAUGCUGUUUGUGUCCUGCCUACCCCACUGCCCAACAGCUUCCUUGUUCAAACUACUGGAGAUAGUCCCUAAUGUGGUGUUGUGGAAUCCCAGAAUGGUACUUGGAGUUGGGAAUGGGACUCGAUCACCUCUGAAGUCCCUUCCACCUCCAUGAUUUUAUGAUUCAACAUAGGCUGGGGACAACUUGGGAUUUUGUGGCUUCCAUGAAAGUCUGAAACUGUCACAAUAUUACUCAUCCUCUGUACAGAGGGGAGCACACCCUUUAAAUAGAUUUGGCCACAAAGACUGGCUACAUGCAAAUUAUAAUACGCAUUCAAACAGUUUUCACAGCAUGAUGAUCAUACAUGAUAAUAAUUAUCUUGAGUAAUUUAGGUCUGAAUUCAGGCCUGGGUUGGGCCUGAAAUGGUUCCCAGUGGGACAGGUUAUUGUCCUGGGUUCUUUUUUUACUCUUGUCUUUAUUUGUAAACUGCUUUUUGUAGCUCAUUAUGGGACGUGGUAUUUUAAAUAAAUA